GCCAACGCGGCAGACAUUGCCUACACGAGGAGGAGGACUCCAUGUUGAAAUUUUCCGGAUUUCUCCAUAAAAUCUGUAGUUUCUCUGUUCUUCCCGAUUGGCCUGUGUGGUUCAUCAAGAAAAAUGAUGCGGAAAAGUGAUGUGAAGUUUCGUCACAACCGCGACGACAACACACAAAUGCGAUUUCUUGACGUCGAAUCCUUCUAAUGUGACGUCACAACCUGUCGCUGUCGGCUGAUAAACGACGAUGACCCCUCUCGAUCCAUCCCAGAAAGCUCUAUAUACAACACGUCCCUGUCAUUUGCUGCGAAUGCUUACAUCAUCCUUCCUGAGAACAUCAUGAUGGAACCGCAUACACACCACGGGUCAACGAAGACAACCGCCAUCUCGAAGGAGGAGGAAAACCGUGAUGGAAUCUUCGCUCACAGUUUAUCAGUGCUUCAGGCAAGACCUACUCUUUGUAAAACUGCAAGCCAAACACUAGUUACACUUGUCAACGGUUCUGCCACAAAUGAUUACAAAUCGUUUUACAAGUUAAUACGACGCGACAGGCUUUUAAGCCUUGCUUUUACCCAAGAAAAGAUUUUAUUCGAACAGAAAAAGUUGUUAAGCAUAAAAAUACAUGGCAGAGCAGAAACAUAACAAGUGCAACUAGAUACUAGUGAGGUUUCGCAUCCCUAAGAUAUAAAUCUACGUAUACGUUUUAAAAUUUUGAAAUCGUAACGAAUUUUAGCUCUUCUGGUUAAAAGGAACCGAUUUCACAAUGUUGCGAAGGGCGCGCACCCUCAGUGCCCAGAAAACUGCCCAACAUGUAUGUGCGUCACACAGGCGUUUUGGAAGCGUAAACGUGAUUGCGAAACCUCCCUAUUUUCCAAUACAUGACACCUGACAAGAUCCUGGAGAUGGUUAAACUUAUAUUGAGGUUUAUUGGGGGGGGGGGGGGGGGGUUUAUUGGAAAGAUGUUUAAUUCGUAAUACUUUUACUGAUACCUUUUCAUGAAGCUUUUUUCCUCAGUUGCUGUAAGAAAAAAUCCUUUAAAAAGGCAUAGUUUCUUGGCUUAUGGUAUCUUUCGCAAUAACACCUGUUUUGCUGUUAAAAGUUUUAAAGCUUUUCGUAUUAAAAAAGUGAAAAAAAGUGCUAUAGGCCGACGGGAUUCGAACCCAAGACCUUUGGGAGGUAAGCCACACGCUCUAACCACUACUCCACCAAGCCACACUCUCCGUAUGGCUGCAAAAGAGCGAGUCACUGAAGUUUAGGCCAGACGGCUCAUUGAAAAUUUAUGGUGAAUUAUUGGUUGAAUAGACAGGUUACGAGAUCCUUUGUCAAAUAAGGUGUGUCAUUUUCUUCUGCAACAACACACAAUUUGUAGAUUUAAUUGUACGAGACGUAGGCCUAUUUCACAGCAAUACAUUGUACAGAAUUAGAUUUAGAUGGAUUGAACUGAUUCAAACUGAUUCAAACUAUGUAAGUAAUACUUUAAUCUCACUUCUAUGAGACCAUCUUAUCGAAAGUUAUUAUUAAUUUUCAGUACCGAAUACCGGGUGUUCGGUAUUGUUGA